rnacentral:rRNA from 1 species
UACGUAGGGUGCGAGCGUUGUCCGGAAUUAUUGGGCGUAAAGAGCUUGUAGGCGGUCUGUCGCGUCUGCUGUGAAAAUCCGGGGCUCAACCCCGGACUUGCAGUGGGUACGGGCAGACUAGAGUGUGGUAGGGGAGACUGGAAUUCCUGGUGUAGCGGUGAAAUGCGCAGAUAUCAGGAGGAACACCGAUGGCGAAGGCAGGUCUCUGGGCCACUACUGACGCUGAGGCGCGACAGCGUGGGGAGCAAACAGG